rnacentral:rRNA from 1 species
UACGUAGGGUGCGAGCGUUAAUCGGAAUUACUGGGCGUAAAGCGUGCGCAGGCGGUUUUGUAAGCCAGAUGUGAAAUCCCCGGGCUUAACCUGGGAAUGGCAUUUGGGACUGCAAGGCUCGAGUGCGGCAGAGGAGACUGGAAUUCCUGGUGUAGCAGUGAAAUGCGCAGAUAUCAGGAAGAACACCCGUGGCGAAGGCGGCUCUCUGGGACGGUACUGACGCUGAGACGCGAAAGCGUGGGGAGCGAACAGG